CAACCCGUCCUUUCACCACCUCCUUCCUCCACCUCAUGGCAGCUUCGUGUCAUUCGGUAGUGGCUUCGAAGGGUUGCUGUCUAGCUGCCGCUCCCCGCGACCACCACCUUCCACCUCAAGCUUCAAUGAGUAUCUUUGUGGCGU